rnacentral:rRNA from 1 species
AUUGAACGCUGGCGGCAGGCCUAACACAUGCAAGUCGAGCGGAAACGAUGGAAGCUUGCUUCCAGGCGUCGAGCGGCGGACGGGUGAGUAAUGCAUGGGAAUCUGCCCGAUAGUGGGGGAUAACCUGGGGAAACCCAGGCUAAUACCGCAUACGUCCUACGGGAGAAAGCAGGGGAUCUUCGGACCUUGCGCUAUCGGAUGAGCCCAUGUCGGAUUAGCUUGUUGGUGAGGUAAUGGCUCACCAAGGCGACGAUCCGUAGCUGGUCUGAGAGGAUGAUCAGCCACAUCGGGACUGAGACACGGCCCGAACUCCUACGGGAGGCAGCAGUGGGGAAUAUUGGACAAUGGGCGAAAGCUGAUCCAGCCAUGCCGCGUGUGUGAAGAAGGCCCUCGGGUUGUAAAGCACUUUCAGUGGGGAAGAAAGCCUUGGGAUUAAUACUCCCGAGGAAGGACAUCACCCACAGAAGAAGCACCGGCUAACUCCGUGC